AAGAUUGAUAAUCCAUCUUUCUGUUCAGUGGUGGAUUAUUUCCUGUUUUUGAGUUGCUUUGUGAGGAAGUCGAUACAGUAGAGUAGUUUAUUGAAUAACCAGGCUUGUAUGAAGGUUGCUCAGCACUAGAGUCUGAGCACCUGCAACAACACCUUAAACUACUCUAAACUUUAUUGAAUCAGUUAAAAUUGUGUUAGUUUUAAUACUUUUUAGACAUAAUAGGAUUAUGACAUGCUUCAAAACGUUUGAAAAGCUUAGAAAAUGUAGGCAACGCAAUAUCGCGAUAAAUUAAGUUGGCAAUCGUUGCUGCCGCACUUUUUUAGAGGUUAGAAAUUAGACCGUUAUGGCGGUUAACGUUUGUUGGUGAUCGGUGCUCAUUAUUUUAAAAAUUAUUCAUUAAAUAUCAAGAUUUAAAGUUAAAUUUUAGUGUUAAUUGGAUGUUCAGUGGGUGAUUGAGGCUAGGAACAAUCAUUUGCGGCGUGACACAAGAAAAUGGCACCCAGGGAGCAGCAAGGAGCUUGUGAUGUAAAUGUAAAUAAUGGUGGAGGCGCCCAUGUAUUGGAAUCUGGAACGUGACUUGUGUAUACACAAUGGAAAUACU